AUGACUCUCGGCAACGGAUAUCUCGGCUCUCGCAUCGAUGAAGAACGUAGCGAAAUGCGAUACCUAGUGUGAAUUGCAGAAUCCCGCGAACCAUCGAGUCUUUGAACGCAAGUUGCGCCCGAGGCCAUUCGGCCGAGGGCACGCCUGCCUGGGCGUCACGC
rnacentral:rRNA from 1 species